CUCCUGCAAAAUGGUUAAUUGCAUGUGCAACUAAAUUUCCUGUUGCAUCGAAAAGCCAAACUGGGCAGCCUGAACUGACUCUCCCAAGGGACCAAGAAAAUUGAGCAAGGGGAGGGCGACCCUCCCCAGACACAGGGCUGCACACCCACAAGUAGCCCUUGGUUUCUUAAGGAAGGGCAGAUUUCUGAGGAAAGGGCAGAAGCGCUAAAGGAAGAAACGAAAAAGAAUCUGCUGUGUCCCCACCUUCCACCUUUUCUUUCCCCCAAAAUUAGUGCCUACUUGAUUAUUUGCAGCUGUUUGGAACCUCAAGCAGAUCUCCACCCCUCCAGCCCUGGGCUCGAGCCUUGGAACCUCGGUCAGCUCUACGCGUCUCUACGCCCCAGUCACUUCAGCCCUCUGCACCCAGCGCCGGGGCCACAGGCUGGUUCCCACCGCUGGGGUGUGGCCCUGAUAUCCCCAGAGCGGAUUUCCCACCCGGAGAGGUCGGAGAGGUCCUAGGACCUCACUGACGUUUGCCACCGGCCCUCCUGCCUCCUCCUUGACCUUGGACUUCGUGCCGCCUGCCCACGAGCAGCAAACCUGGAGUCCACUGGCCACGCAGUCCCCAGCGGGCUCCGACACCCGGCUGGCGCCCUCGACACGGAGUGGGCUGCCUGGAGAGAUCGCGGGUGGGAAACGUGCCCGCAUCCCCACGCCACGACUGCCACCCAUUGCCGUGGCCACCUGGCCACAGCCUCUCGCGCCGUGGAGCCCGUGGCGCCUGAUCUUCGGCCCCACAGCGGCCCGCGCAUCACUCGCUGGUGGCGGCCGGCGAAGCCGGGUGUCACCCCGCAAGUCCCGGGUCGGUGGCUCCCGUCGAGGAGAGAGGGGACCAGGCCUGCACCUCGGGGGAGCCCCGGCGGUGGUCAGCAGCUCCCCUCGAGGCUAGUUCCCCUCCCACUCGGCACAGCCCGGUCCCCUCUUUGUCACUCCGGGGGCUUCUAAUCACUCCCUAUCGAUUUCCCUAACUCUUUUCAUCCCGUUGAAGACACAUCUUAAAACACUCCGGCCCGGAGUGUGCUCUGGGCUUUAUCCACACUAAUAAAAUGAUUUACCCUGCUCUCCGCGCUUGCCUCACAGAGGAAAAUCGUUCAAGCCCCGGCUAUUUGUGUGUGAUCAGUAAAUAUUUAGUGCGGUGACAUCCUCAGCUAGGCUGUGGAUCGAUUCGGGGCCCACCGGGAGGUGCGCAGUGCCCAGGCGGGGCGCGCCCGCCCGCCCGCACAGGGGGCUCCUCCCGCUCUCGCCGCUGGCCGCUGAUUUACGGCCUGGGCAUCCACCAGGCUGGGGGGUGC
rnacentral:lncRNA from 1 species